rnacentral:rRNA from 1 species
ACGAACGCUGGCGGCGUGCUUAACACAUGCAAGUCGAACGGAAAGGCCCUGCUUUUGUGGGGUGCUCGUGUGGCGAACGGGUGAGUAACACGUGAGUAACCUGCCCUUGACUUUGGGAUAACUUCAGGAAACUGGGGCUAAUACCGGAUAGGAGCUCCUGCUGCAUGGUGGGGGUUGGAAAGUUUCGGCGGUUGGGGAUGGACUCGCGGCUUAUCAGCUUGUUGGUGGGGUAGUGGCUUACCAAGGCUUUGACGGGUAGCCGGCCUGAGAGGGUGACCGGGCACAUUGGUACUGAGAUACGGCCCAGACGCGUACGGGAGGCAGCAGUGGGGAAUAUUGCACAGUAGGCGGAAGCGUGAUGCGGCGACGCCGCGAUCGUGAUGACGGCCUUCGGGUUGUAAACCGCUUUCUCCGGUGACAAAGCGGGAGUGACGGUAAUGGGUAAGGAAGCACCGGCUAACUACGUG